rnacentral:rRNA from 1 species
GAAGUGCUUGCACUUCGCUGACGAGCGGCGGACGGGUGAGUAACGCGUAGGAAUCUGCCUGGUAGUGGGGGACAACAUGUGGAAACGCAUGCUAAUACCGCAUACGCCCUGAGGGGGAAAGAUGGGGAUCUUCGGACCUAUCGCUAUCAGAUGAGCCUGCGUAAGAUUAGCUAGUUGGUGGGGUAAUGGCCUACCAAGGCGACGAUCUUUAGCUGGUCUGAGAGGAUGAUCAGCCACACUGGGACUGAGACACGGCCCAGACUCCUACGGGAGGCAGCAGUGGGGAAUAUUGCACAAUGGGCGCAAGCCUGAUGCAGCCAUGCCGCGUGUGUGAAGAAGGCUUUCGGGUUGUAAAGCACUUUCAGCGAGGAGGAAAGGAUAGUAGCUAAUAUCUGCUAUCUGUGACGUUACUCGCAGAAGAAGCACCGGCUAACUCCGUGCCAGCAGCCGCGGUAAUACGGAGGGUGCAAGCGUUAAUCGGAAUUACUGGGCGUAAAGCGCGCGUAGGCGGUUUGUUAAGCUAGAUGUGAAAGCCCCGGGCUCAACCUGGGAACUGCAUUUAGAACUGGCAGGCUAGAAUACGGUAGAGGUUAGUGGAAUUUCCUGUGUAGCGGUGAAAUGCGUAGAGAUGGGAAGGAACACCAGUGGCGAAGGCGACUGACUGGACCGAUAUUGACGCU